CCUGCAAUCAUUGGGAAAGCACUUGUGUUCAAAAUGUAAAACAUACUUUAAAUUGCCAACACUCUCACACACACAUGAAAACACUUAUACAGUAAUUGAACAGCCAUCUGUCUGAGCCUUAGCACUACAGACUACAGACCUCCGGUAAGCUCCCCUCUUUUGUGAGAACCUUAACGAACAUAGAGGCAGAGAGAGGAAGAGGAAGAGAGAGAGGAGUGGGAGGACGAUGAGGACAAGAACAAAGAAGGGGACCAGGCAAUACAUGUAUUCUUACAGGAUCUUGCUAAACACUGCACGGCUCAGAGACCCAGCACAGAGGCGAAGCAGAUGUAGAAUAAUACGCCAGGGAAAUUCUCUUUCGACUGGGGUCAUUUUACAAUCAACCAGUGUGCUGUGGACUCAAGUAGAUCGCAGCGGUGCCACAGAAGCGUCCCUCACUGAAGCAUUCAAAUCCUCUUACGCUGCUGCUGCUGCCUCUGCAGCAUUUUAAAUCAACCAGACCUGACGAUGAGGGAGGCUGGGCAGAGAGUCUAACCCAAUCGCUAGUCGGCAGCAUCCAUAAUACAGACAUUUACACUGGAGAACAGACAACCUCCUGAGGGUGGCGGGACCUGGCCAUUGUCACUCUAGUGUUGGCUAACAACCGCACCCGCACCAGUCUGGCUUCACCAACCACAACAACAGCUGUGUGCCUGUCCCCUUACUCCCCAUCUCUCAAUCCGAUUUGGCGUUGGAAAAUGAAUGGCUGCCAACCACAUGCCCGCCUGCCUCCUCUGUAAGCAAUGGAAGAGGCACGCGGACACAUUGAGACUAGGUCAGACCAGAGUUGGAUAUGGCAUGCAUGGUGAUAUUUUCCCCGUCGCCUUGCCGGGGAUGACAUUGCUUGUGAUGUGGAUGAGGAGCUCCACGAGAUCACCGCACGAAGACAUGUCUGAAGAGAACCGGGCUGAAAUGUUCUACGCAGUACUCUGAGUUCCCAUCCCUGUUAAGAAACCGCACGCGCGUCCUCGUAUCAUUACUUUCCCUGGUGAUUUGGGGAGAACCGUUCCACGUUUAGUUACUGCUGGACAUCGCCUGUACUCCAUUUCUCACCAUUAAGAGACAGGGCCAGCCUGUGUCCUCAGCUGGGGUGUUUGACACUGUAAGUGUUCAUCAUUAUGGGUAUUUAACACUGUAAGUGUUCAUCAUUAUGGGUGUUUAACACUGUAAGUGUUCAUCAUUAUGGGUGUCAAGACUGGCUCUGAAUAUUUCUCGAAAUAUUUUUCAAAUUGUUUUAAUGGGCCUCAGUACGCUCGGUUAUAUUCUUUAAAGUAAAAUAUGUAGCUCUCUCUGUCUGACUUUCUUUCUUUCUUUUUUUGCUUUCUUUCUUUCUUUCUUUCUUUCUUUCUGUAUUAGUCAUGUGGCCAUUUUACUGUAAGAGACUCAGCAGCUUUUUGCUCCCUGAUUAGAACUGGAGAACUAACACAUGAAACAACUAGAGCACAACUAUAGAACAUCAGAUUCCUCCUCAG
ensembl:lncRNA